CAGCCGUAAACUAUGCGCGUUAGGUGUAUCGGUGACCACGAGUUACCGAGGUGCCGAAGGGAAACCGUGAAACGUGCCGCCUGGGAAGUACGGUCGCAAGGCUGAAACUUAAAGGAAUUGGCGGGGGAGCACCACAACAGGUGGAGCCUGCGGGUUUAAUUUGGACUCAACGCCGGGAAGCUCACCGGAUAGGACAGCAGAAUGAUUGCCGGGCUGAAGACCCUGCAUGACUAGCUGAGAGGAGGUGCAUGGCGUAGACGUCU
rnacentral:rRNA from 1 species